GUUCAAGCGGCCGCAGAGCGGCCCAGAGUUCGCAGGUCUGGGGCUCUCUUCCCAGAGAGCUCGUAGGGGAGGACAGUCAAGGGACUCAAGCGUCUCUCUUGACUCCCCUUCUCUCGCUGUGCAGUGGCGGCGCCGAGGGGUCGACGCUCAGGGCUAAUCUCUAUGAGUCACCCUCGAGGCCCCGGGUAAUAUUGGGUGGAUCACAAGAACUAAUCUUUCAUGAUUUGGAAACCGGAAGGAAAGAAGCACUUUUGUAGCUGACUUACCUCAAUGACAUGACCAGUGUCUGAGCCUACAACUGCGCUAUCUUCCCUGGAUUUUUCUUCACCUUUUCCUUACUCAUGAGCCAGCAACCUGACAUGGUUGAUAUUUUAAUCCCAUCUUUAGAGACAAGAAAACUGUGGCUCAGUGAAGAAGAUGUGGAGCUAGGACUUGAGACCAGAUGGUGGUUUCCCAAACCCAUGCUCCUCCGCACUUGUCACACCAGCACUUCUUCCAUGUGCAUAAUUCCCUGGACCCAGUGGACUGUGGGAAGUGAUGGUGAAACAGAAUCUGAGUGCACAAUCAGACCAGUGAACAACAGAUCAGGAAGAGAGGAGUCUAACGACAGGGAGUCCUCAGGUCAUUCUGCAGCCUCUACCAACUGACACCAACUAGAAUAAGUGCAUUGAUUUGGAAAGCCAAAGACCAAGCCACACCACAGAGCUGGAGAUCUGUCCAGCACAAGUGCCCAUUCUAAGGCUUCCAGAGCCCACCUAGAACUGAGCUGCCAAUGACCACAAGCGAGAAAGGAUGUGCUCUAUAAGAAAACCUGUUCCAAGUGGAAUCCAGACUCCCAGUCCGCUCAUCACUCCUCUGUGUCGUAUUACAGAUGCUGUCUUGGCUUUAAGAAAUGCUUCCAUCAAACUACCAGAGCAAGCAAGAAAGUUUGUCCAAAUGCCUUGAUUUCAUGUAUUUUUCUCCUUUUCAAUGGUAGGAAAGAAACUCCAUAUGUCCUUCUAAAUAUUUGACAGAAAUCUGCUAGAAAAAUUCAAUGCUAAUAUAUUUCAGUUCUCAUGAAACAUAAGGCACUCCAGCAAUGCCGCUAAAACCCGUCAAAAUACAUUCUCCAUGAACAGACUCAUGUCCCUGAAGAGUGACUUGAUGCAAGAGGGUGGCACAGAACUGUGGAAAGAAAUUGGAACAUGAACUUAAUAAAUUAGCAUAUGUAAUGCACUGAAACAUUUACACAUAACAGAGAUUAGAGGAGAACUGACCUCUAGGAAGGUUUGGGUUCUUAAGUCAUCCAGGUCUUGAUGGCCAAGGCCAUCUAUAAAAGAAAUAUUUUCCUUUUUUCAUGGUGACUAAAAAAUAAAUUUUAAAAGUAUAUUAUUUGUAGUUUAGUUCCAAUGAUCUCCAUGUUUCCCUGAGGUCAUUUUCUUGUUCUUCUUUGAUGGUACCUAGUAUUGUCUGAUGUUGGCCAUAUCAGGGCCUGGCAAAGGAAACUAAGCGGGGAAAUGGGGGCAUCACCUUUGACCAAACCUACUCUGGCAGGUGUAAAGCAGGCAGGAGGAGUUCCUUUCUUGGCCUAAGAGGUAAUCAUAGCCAUUGAUCUUUUUUUUUUUUUUUGCUUUUUUAUACUGACUGUUCCUCAGACAAUAGUUCCUAAUAUUGAUUGGAAACAUUUCUAAUGACUGGUGGUAAUCAGGGCAUGUGCUUGGCUCUGAAGAAGUCCAGUGAGACCUGAAAUCACUUUCCACAUUUGCUUGGAAAGAAGGUGGCACAUGGCAGCCAGGGUGAUCUUCAUAAUGUAAGGUCCUGCUUGUCACUUGUCCACUUCAACCUUUCCAGGUGCUUUCUACCUCACCAGAAUAUAAACCGAAGCUUUCUGCAUGGCCCACCUGGCUCUGCUUGCUCUAGCCCCUGCCCUCACCUCUCUCGCCGCUUUUCCCUUGGCCACAUUGCUCUAGCCACCUUGGCUCUAUCUGUCCCUUGGACUUGUCAAGGUCAUCUCCACCUUAGGGACUUGCAUGUGUUCCUCUGCCUGGAAAGCCCUUCCUUUAGAUCUUUUUCCUGCUUGCCAUUUGGGUCUCAGUUCAAGACCCUUGGUCAGAGAGUUCAUGACUAUCCAGGACUCUGCCCUCUGCCCUACGUCAUCUUCUUAGCACUUAUCACUAUUGUGCAUCUUCCCCUUCAUGUGUCUACAUGUUUACCACUGUCUCCUCCAACAGAAGGUAAGUUCCACGAGCUCAGGGAGCUUUUUUCUCUUAUCCAUACUGCAUUGCACCUCCUUGAACAGCUCAAUAAUUGUUGAAGAAGUGGGGAAUGAGCAGGGAUUCAAACUCCAGAGCUUGGGCUACCACCUCUCACAAGAGAAGUUCAACAUCUCUCUGUCUCCUUUUAAAUAUUGUCUCUUAUCUAUUGCUGGGCCUGCAAACCAGGAGGGUCCAUUCAUACCUUCAUUGGGGUGAAAAUUAAGAACCUGUCUUUUCUUACAUCCCUAUUCCCCUCCCAAAAGAACAAGCUAACUAUUGUCCAAACACUAUUUAUUAAAAAGCUGUCUUUUUUUGACCUAGUGUGGAAAGUGAGUGGGAAUCACGAGAUUAAUGGUGAGUUAAAUUUAAUAUAUUUUAGGCUGUUCUUCUGGACUAUUCUGUUACAUCUUAUAUUAGUAGCUCACAAAUUUAAUUACUGUACCUUUAAAAAAUAUGAGUAAUAUCUUAAUAAAUGGAUCCUCUUCACACCUCUUUUAUUUUUUCUAAACAUUUCUAAACUAUUUUUGACUAUUCUAUCAGAUGGUUUUGAUUUUUAGACUCUUUUUGAAAAGUUAAAAGAUGUCUGGUUCAGAUUUUGAUUUGCAUUGCAUUAAACCUCUAACCUAAUUUUGGAAGAAUUCAUCUUUACACCAUCUUUCUUCCAGUGAACUGCUAGAUUUCUUGGAGAUCUGCAGUUUUAACUUUUUAAGUUUUAACUUCACAUUUUUUGCUCUUAUUAUGGAUGGAGUUAGUUUCCAUUCUAUGCCCCAUCCCCUCAAUGGUUUGAAAUUCAUAUGUAGAUUUUAGUUCAGGGAAGAUUAAUGGCUAAGCUACAAACCUCUGAAAUGGGAAGUUCCACCGUAAAUCUCAGAACCACUUGAACCAUACUGUGUAAUUAUGCCAAAUGAUGUAGAUUUAUGAAUAGAUCUGGUAGGAAUAUUUUCUUUGAAUAAAACGGAUUUUUUAUUUUGCAUUUAACUGUGUUCAAGAUUGCUAUAUUCUUGUACAGGUUCUUUAUACAUCAGGUAAAUGUUCAUGAUCUGACCUCAUCUAUGCUUUCAGUGCUGCCUGGGAAUUCCAAUAUUUCUCCACAUUGUUUUCUUUGCAUUUGAUGCAGUAGCUAUUUUAAACCCUCUCUACAAUGUUGAACUUCCAAUUCCACUAUCCCCUCACUUUCAGAAGACACGUUUGCCUCAGAAAGACAGAUGGGGAGGGGGUGGGGGGUAGGGGGACAGAGAGGUAAUAAACAUAUGGAACAUAAAACAAAAUCUCCUCACCUUCCUGACAUGAAAUUUACCCACUUAAUUGUGAGGUAGGAGGUGGGACUCAACUCUGGAGGCUGGGCUCAGACACUGGACUAAACUGAGGACUAGUUAAAACAGGGCCAGGAUAGAAGCAGCUUUCCAUAAGACACCCCACCAGUGUGCUAUGUCAGUUUACCACUGCCACGGCAACACCCGGAGGUUACCACCCCUUUUCAUAGCAACAAUCUGACAAGUUGCCACCUUCAUAUAAAUUUCUUCAUAAACUGCCCCUUAACUUACAUGUAAUUAAAAGUAUAAUUACUAUAUUUAUGUAAAUAUGACUGCAGAAGUGCCUCUGAGCUGCUGCUCUGGGCACACUGCCUAUGGGGUAGCCUUGCUGUGCAAGGAGCAGUACCUCUGCUGCUGCUAUACACUGCCGCUUCGAUUAUAGUUUCUGUUUAGCAUCCUCCACUCACCCUUGAAUUCUUUCCUGGGCAAAACCAAGAACCCUCUUGGGUUAAGCCCUAAUUUUGGGGCUCACCUGCCCUGUAUCACUUGUAUCUGGACCAAUCUAUCUUUGCUGUUCCAAUGCCUAUGUCCCAUCUGUUAUCUGAACUCCAUCUCCCCGUAUCUCCAAGAAUCCCUUAUUGUUGGGCAUUCAGGUUGUCAUUUCCCUACAAUAAAAACACAAUGCUUGAUGAACUACAUUGUAAUAUACCCCUGGGUGCUUCUCCAGGUUUUUCUUUGGAUAAAUAAUUGAAAGUACAAUUGCCAGAUCAAAGGGUAUGCACACUUUGAUUCCUUUGGAUUACCAAGUUAUCAGACUCUAAUAUGUGCUCCCACUAUUUUAUGGUGGCAGGCUGCCUGUUUUCCUGAACCCUUACCAACACUAAAUGUCAUUCUUUUCGUUUCUUGAUACAGAGUCUCACUUUAUCACCCAAGGUGGAGUGCAGUGGCACAAUAUCAGCUCACUGCAACCUCCAUUUCCUGGGCUUAAGUGAUCCUCCCACCUUAGCCUCCGGAGUAGCUGGGACCACAGGUGCUCACCACUAUGGCUGGCUAAUUUUUGUAUUUUUUUGUAGAGAGGGGUCUUGCUACAUCGCCCAAGCUGGUCUCAAACACCUGGGCCCAAGCGAUAUGCUUGCCUUGGCCUCCUAAAGUGUUGGCAUUACAAGAGUGAACCAAUUAUCCUUCUUUUUAACCAUCCAAUUUAUUAGGCAAAAGUGGCAUCUCAUUAAUUUAAUUUGCAUUUUUACUGAUUGAGCAAAUGAUAAACUCUCCCUUGUUCAUGGCCAUUUUCUCUGUGCUUCAAUAGUGCCAGGCACACUGACACACUCAAUAAACAUUUGUUGAAUUAAAAAAAAUGAAUGUGCUAACCAUAUGGCAAGUUCUGGGCAAGGUGUUAUAUUAAAUAAAAAUUGUAAUACAAUUAAAGUUGAAUAUCUUUUCAUAUGCUUAUUGUCCAUUUACAUUUUCUCUUUUUUUUUUUUUUUUUUUUUUUUGGUGACUUGCCUGCUUUGUACAUUACCCUAUAUCUGUUGGAGUUUGAUAUGGUUUGGGUCUGUGUCCCUGCCCAAAUCUCAUGUCAAAUUGUAAUCCCCAAUAUUGGAGGUGGGGCCUGGUGGAAAGUGAUUGGAUCGUGGGGGCAGAUUUCCUCUUUGGUGCUGUUCUCAUGAUAGUGAGUGAGUUGUCUUGAGAUCUGAUUGUUUAAAAGUGUGUGGCACCUCCUCCCUCACUCUCUUCCUCCUGCUCCAGCCAUGUAAGACAUGCCUGCUUCCCCUUUGCCUUCUGCUAUGAUUGUAAGUUUCCUGAGGCCUCUUCAGCCAUGCUUCCUGUAGAGCCUGCAGAACUGUGAGCCAAUUAAACCUCUUUUCUUUAUAAAUUACCCAGUCUAAGGUUUUUUCUUUAUAGCAGUGUGAGAAUUAACUAAUACAGAGUUAUAAAGAUCUUAAUUCUUCACCCAUUAUAUAUUUAAGCACUAUGUCUUCUUAACUAUUCUUUUAAUUUUAUGGUUUUGAUUAACAUAAGUUCUUAAUAUUUAUGCAGUCAUAUGGAUUAAAGACUUACAUGUUAGACCUAAAACCAUAAAAACCCUAGAAGAAAACCUAGGCAAUACCAUUCAGGACAUACGCAUGAGCAAGGACUUCAUGUCUAAAACACCAAAAGCAAUGGCAACAAAAGACAAAAUUGACAAAUGGGAUCUAAUUAAACUAAACAGCUUCUGCACAGCAAAAGAAACUACCAUCAGAGUGAACAGGCAACCUACAAAAUGGGAGAAAAUUUUUGCAACCUACUCGUCUGACAAAGGGCUAAUAUCCAGAAUCUACAAUGAACUCAAACAAAUUUACAAGAAAAAAACAAACAACCCCAUCAAAAAGUGGGCGAAGGAUAUGAACAGACACUUCUCAAAAGAAGACAUUUAUGCAGCCAAAAAACAUAUGAAAAAAUGCUCAUCAUCACUGGCCAUCAG
rnacentral:lncRNA from 1 species